rnacentral:rRNA from 1 species
GACGAACGCUGGCGGCGUGCUUAACACGUGCAAGUCGAACGGUAAGGCCCUUCGGGGUACACGAGUGGCGAACGGGUGAGUAACACGUGGGUGAUCUGCCCUGCACUUCGGGAUAAGCCUGGGAAACUGGGUCUAAUACCGGAUAGGACCACUGCCUGCAUGGGUGGUGGUGGAAAGCUUUUGCGGUGUGGGAUGGGCCCGCGGCCUAUCAGCUUGUUGGUGGGGUGAUGGCCUACCAAGGCGACGACAGGUAGCCGGCCUGAGAGGGUGACCGGCCACACUGGGACUGAGAUACGGCCCAGACUCCUACGGGAGGCAGCAGUGGGGAAUAUUGCACAAUGGGCGCAAGCCUGAUGCAGCGACGCCGCGUGAGGGAUGACGGCCUUCGGGUUGUAAACCUCUUUCAGCACCGACGAAGCGCAAGUGACGGUAGGUGCAGAAGAAGGACCGGCCAACUACGUGCCAGCAGCCGCAGUAG